rnacentral:lncRNA from 1 species
UUUAUCAUUACUAAUGAAGAUACGCUUGUGCAACAUUAAUUUAUCAGGCUCAAUAACCAAAAGAAAAGCUUCCAUUGAUAUGAUCAAUUAAUGCCUAGUCAAUCAUCACGAAUGUAUAUUCCACAACAAUAAUUGAUCUAUAUAAAUACUAGGCAGUAAUAAAAGAAGUGAAUCCGCAUACAAGCCACCAACCAUCAUGAUAUCCAAAUAAAAUUAAAAUUAAAUGUAAACUGCAACGCCAAUUUUUAAUUUAGUUUGAUAGCAGAGAGAUUGCUGUAAACUGCAAAACUGCAUGAAUUCAUACAAAACAUGCAGUUUCAAAGUCCAAACUACGUACAUACAUACAUACAUUGGCAAACAUAAAUGUUUAGCGUAAGAUCAUUUCAAUCAGCUCAGCUCCCACCACCUAACAUAAAUGUUUAAACAUAAAUGUUUACAGUUUUGCCGCUUACUUGUGCCGGUGGACUCGAUCUACUUGCUCUUUGUCCACCUGCUCAUGUUAAGUGAAAAUUCUUUAUUACUCAAAUAAGAUUGUCCGUGAAAGGGACUGCAACUCCAUUGUCAAAGUGAUCUACAGAAUAGUCUGCAUAGCUACCAUUCAAAUUUGCACAAAGGAAGCAUCGUACAAAUUGGUAAUGCGUGGGACAAUCUUUAUCCACCUUCCAAUAAAACACUUACCUGCUUCUUAUUAUAUAUUAUAUAUAAUAUUUAGUAAAUAUGUAAAAUUAAUCAAUUUAUCUACACACAAAAAACUAAAGUACCUAUUUGGACGAUGUUAACUUUAUACAAUUCAAAUAAAUACUAAAUGUAUACGAAAAGAAAGAUACUAAAUCAAAUAAUACAAGUGAACAUAAAGGGAAUAUGCUUUUGGCAUAUUCUAGUCAAAACAUCCAAGUUCCAACAACGGUUGCGAGUCCCCUUCUUUUAUCAUAUUAUAGUAAGGGAAUAUGUUUUUGACAUAUUCUACUUAAAAUAUUUUUACAUAGUACAAAACUAUAGAUCAUACUCCCCAAAACGGCAAUACACAGAGAAUACUUCUUUUGCUCGGUUGAUUAGUUCGAUCUAAAAUGGUUGAUGACUCCGAUCUAGAAUGCUACCUUUUGAUUUUAAUUUUGCUCUUAAACUUUGGGAUUUCUUCAACGAUUAUUUCGACGGUGACAAAUCUUCUCUUUCUCUUUUUGAUUUUUCUGUUUUGAUUUAGAUCUGGAUAUUAUUUUGUCAUUCUUUUGUGAUUAUUAUUUGUAAAUAUUGUUAACGUUUAUUGGGUAUGUAUAUAUAAUGCGUUUGGAAAGGGGUUAAAUCUACUUUUCCCCACUCUACUCGACCUCGGUUUACAAAUGCAUCACUGGACUAAAAAAUUUUACGGUCAACUCAUUGAACUGUAUUUUUUUUUCAAAAAUUUUAAAAACCGUCUAUUCCGUUAAAAAUUUAGCAGAAAGUCUACAUGGCACCAAUUACGUGGAAUAUAAUAUCCACCUUAGAAAAAAAUAUAUAUAUUAAUAAUAAGAUCCACCUUAGAAAGUCUACAUGUCACCAAUUCCGUUUUCAAGCUUAGACUCUUCUCUUUUUUUUAAUAACAAAUAAUUAAAUAAAUUAAUAAUAAAAUAUAUUAAUUAAAUAAAACUUUUAAAUCAUAGAAGAUAGUAGAUAUCAUGCUCUACUUGACUCUUCUAAUAGAUUGCUUAUUCCGCUGCAAUUGUUGAUCUAAAACUUGUUGUCUAUUGUAUUCUAUCAGUUGUUAUACUGUUGAAGGCUAAGGAUAAUUUAUUCUGCAUUAUCUUAGUCAUAAUAUUUCUUACUGGGCUAGUUGAGCUCACCCUUUUCUUUCACUGUUCUCUACAGAAAAUGAGAAUAUAGCUGGGACUAGUCGGGGAAUGGAUUGACGGUCCAGAUGGUUGUUUUAGUAGUCCUUACUAUUCUAUGAAAUAGUGUGAUAAUAAUUGUAAUUAGAUGAAUUUGAGUUUGGAUAGACAAUAUCCGUGUUAAAACUCUCAGCUAUGUUUUAUCGUAUUUUACACGAUAAUUGUAUAAUUAAGUUAUAGUUUUAUUAUGUACCAUGUAUUUGGCGACUCAGAAUGGGUGAUGUAUACCUAUUUUGAGGGUGUCACAGUUGGUAUCAAAGCUUUGGGAUAUGAUCCAUGGCUAAGAUGUGAGGCUAAAACUAGAAGUGGAUAGACGAGUAAAUACUUCGCUAGUAUGACCUACUUAAGCUUAUUUGUUAUUUAAUGUUGAGAUAAGCAAUGGAGCACAUGACACCGUUGAGUCACCGACGAUCAAUAACCAGAAUAAUGUGCAUCAGAAAGGCAAUAAUCCUCUUGUAAAUAACAACACCGACGAAAUGGCGAACGAUGGUACGUUUAAGAGUUUUCUGGAAUUUAUGCAAAAUCAGACGAGAGAGACUUUUGUUCAAAAUGCAGGUGAAAACACUGGCAACUCACGGCUGGUCGCCGCUAAGCAGUUCAAGGAGCUGGGACCACCGGAGUUUUUGGGAAAGCCAGAACCACUUAAGGCUAUGACGCCCCCAAAUCCAGGUUCUCUAACCUCAGAUUCAGUGCUCACGAUCUAUCAUUUAGUAUAAGCAUUCUAUAAACUAUUGCGGAAUAAUAAACAUACAUUGUUCAUUAUAAUAAAGUUUCAUAACACAAUCCCAACGUCUUCUUUACCUUAACUUAAACACACCUUUAAUAUUACAAAAGGCUUACAUAAAUAAUGCCAUCAUAUAUAAUAAUAAUUAACAUUCCUAUUAAACUAGUCUUGGAUAUUGCCCUUGCCUUUGUCUUUCUUAUUCGAUCCUUCAGGCAUAGCUGAAAUAAAUGUCAUGAUAUAGCAAGGGUAAGCAACUAGUUUGCUUAGCAAGUUUAAAUAUAAGAAAGGUAUAUCAUGAUUAGAAGGGAAUUUAGCUUUCAAUGUUCAACAAUAGAAUCGAUUGUGAAAGAACAUGAAUUAAGUUUUAAUAAUUGAAUUUUCAAAUAAUUGAAUAAUAGAUGUUGAGUGGUUUGAAAUAACCAUGAACAUAUACUAAGGUUGUCAGUAGUUAAACUGGUCCUUUUAAUAAGUUUUGGUAAUCAAGGGGAUCAACCUUUCAUACCCGGUGUAUUAUGCAUAAACACUUAAUAGUCGAGCAACAAUUAUUUUACAAUAUAAUGCUUUAAUAAAAUUGUUCUUUUUCUCAGUCUCGAGUUCUUACCAAAUCAAUUGGUUAAGAACAACUUUUAAAACAUAUUUGAUUUAACAAAUUUAAAUAUAUUCGAUCUAGCUGAUACAACUAGCAUAGAUCUAUCUAUCUCAUAAACAAUUCAAGAAUAAAAGAACUUUAAUUAAUUCACAAUUCAAUAAUAAUUGAAUAGGAAUUCGAUUGUGCAAAAUGCGAUUCACAAUAAUCGUUAAGGAUGUGGAGUAAUCAACAAUAAUUAUCCACUAACAUGCUUUGAAAAUAAUAACUCUGGUUUGAGUUAGAGAACUUGCCUGUUCGAUGAGCUACAACUAACUAGCUUUAAUUAAAACUCUUUGAACGACCUAGCAUUGACAAUGUUGGUCUAUUAAUUAGUACUGCGUAUAAUUGUAUGUCUAUACGCUUACUUAUGCUAUCAAUAAAUAAUUCAAUCACAAGGUACACAUAAUAUAAUAUAUUAUCAUUAGUCCUAUAAGAUAUUUAAUAAAUCUUAAGUUAAUGAUUUAAUUAAUUUAUAAGGUUUUUCUUAAGUAAUAAACACUUAUUAGAUCUUUAAACAAUUUAUUAUAAUUGUUUAAUUAAUGAGUUAUUUAAAUUCUCUUCAUUUAUUAACUCUAUCUUUAUUUAAUUACCAUUUAAUAUUAGUUAAAUAGUAAUUAAUUAAUUACCUUUAGUUAUUAUUUACUAAUAAAUAAUAGCUAAUUACAUCUACUUAUUAUUUAAUAUUAAUUAAAUAAUAAAUAAUUAAAUUAUUAAUAUUAUUUAUCUUUAAUUAUUAUUUAAUAUUAAUUAAAUAAUAAUUAAUUAAUCAUUAUCCAUGAAAAAUAAAUAAUUAAUUUAUUUACUUCGUUAAUCUUUAAUUAUUCAUUACUAUUAAUAAAUGAAUAAUUAAUUAACAUUUGUCAUUAUUUAUUAUUUAAUAAAUAAUAAUUAUUUAUUUAUUUAUCCUUGAAUAACAAAUAAUUAAUUUACUUUAUAAAUCCUUAAUUAUUCUUUCUUGUUAAUCUAAGAAUAAUUAAUUAUCACUUGUCCUUAUUUAUUAUUUAAUAUUAAUUAAAUAAUAAUUAAAAAAAAUUAUUUUAUAAAUUUUAUGUCAAUGUAAGUAAGUAGUUACAUUAUUAUUACAUAAUCUUACUUAAAUUUUCUUUAAUCAUUAUUUAAUAUUAAUUAAAUAAUAAUUAAUCAAUGGUUUAACUCUAUUUAUUAUUUAAUCUUAAUUAAAUAAUCAAUAGUUAGUUUAUUACCACUAACUCUACUCAAUUAUCACUUAAAUAAUAUUUAAAUAAUUAAUUACAAUUAAAUUAUAUGUAAUUAGUUUAAUAAUCAUUUAGUGGCAUUAAUAAUUAUUAAUAAGUAAGUUUUAAAUGAUUUAAAUGAGUUUAAACCAUUAAUUACUUAGUAAUUACAUAACUGUCCAGAAAAAUUCGGAAUUAAAUAUUUUAAUAUUCUUCACAAUUUUAGAAAAUUGUUGGUCCCGAACCCACCACCGGAACCGACCGGAAACUGGGUGAACCGGUCGCCGGAAAGUUUGCCCGGUUCGCCGGAAACUGAACCGGCAGUUAAUAUAUUUUUUUUCUCCUGAUUUUCCAGAUUUGGGGUCCUUUACUAAAACUUGAAUAAAAUGAAAUCUACAACUCUGAUUUAGGUUCAGUCGGUCUCGUUGGAUUCAUAUCUUCCCGAACUACAAUUUUCAUUUAUCAAACAUCAAAUUUGGACAUGUUUUGGUUACUGAAUAUGGCCCGAAACCAGACUGUUUUGCACAGUCAUUCCACAAUGAGGUGUUUUUAGAAAAAAAUUCAUAUCUUGCUCAUUUUAAAACAUUUUUGCAUGCUUCAAAAGGGAUUUUGUUCUUAACUUACAUAUCUAACAUAACAAGAAAGAAAAUCAUAAAAACUAUUAGUAAGUUUCAAAAUGAAAAAUCUUCAAUCACACCUUUCGAUUAAGUUUUCCGGUAAAACUCAUUUUCAUGUAUUUUACCAAACUUUUCUACACAAACACAAAUCAAUACAGAAGUUAAAUGUAUUAAACUUUAUAUCUAUCAUUCUAGCAUGCUUCUAUUCAUUUAAAACUUGAACUUCAUGUAUCUAACAUAAAAUACACUAAGCAUGCAAGAUUAGGGUGUUUCUUAAACAUUUGUACAUAACUUCUUUUUUUUUCUUUUCAACUUUUAACACCCAAAAAAAUGUAAGAUCCAAACAUGAUGCACUAAAAAGAAAUAAAUCAAGAGUUUUGAAAGUUCAUGAGCAUAGGGUCUUUAUUUUUUGUAAAACCAACAAAAUACAUGAAAUUAAAGCUUGUAACCUACCUUGAUCUUAAUGCUACUUUUCUUAUUUUUCCAAAGUAUGUAAUAACUCUUGGUGGCAUCAAGGAAAUUUUUUCUCCCUUCCUUCAAAGCUUCCCACGUUCUCUCUCUAUUUCAUCCUUUUGCUUUUCUUUUUGCUUUUUGGCUAAAUAACUUGUAAGAAUAAAUGAAAAGUUCUUUAUAAAAAUAUUUGGGAG